AACGCGAAGAACCUUACCUGGGUUUGACAUAUGCCGGAAAGCCGUAGAGAUACGGCCCCUUUUAGUCGGUAUACAGGUGGUGCAUGGCUGUCGUCAGCUCGUGUCGUGAGAUGUUGGGUUAAGUCCCGCAACGAGCGCAACCCUCGUCUUAUGUUGCCAGCACGUAAUGGUGGGGACUCAUAAGAGACUGCCGGGGUCAACUCGGAGGAAGGUGGGGAUGACGUCAAGUCAUCAUGCCCCUUAUGUCCUGGGCUUCACGCAUGCUACAAUGGCCGGUACAAAGGGCUGCGAUACCGCAAGGUGGAGCGAAUCCCAAAAAGCCGGUCUCAGUUCGGAUUGGGGUCUGCAACUCGACCCCAUGAAGUCGGAGUCGCUAGUAAUCGCAGAUCAGCAACGCUGCGGUGAAAACGUUCCCGGCCUUGUACACACCG
rnacentral:rRNA from 1 species